GUAGGUCCCGAGCGUUGUCCGGAUUUAUUGGGCGUAAAGCGAGCGCAGGCGGUUAGAUAAGUCUGAAGUUAAAGGCUGUGGCUUAACCAUAGUAUGCUUUGGAAACUGUUUAACUUGAGUGCAGAAGGGGAGAGUGGAAUUCCAUGUGUAGCGGUGAAAUGCGUAGAUAUAUGGAGGAACACCGGUGGCGAAAGCGGCUCUCUGGUCUGUAACUGACGCUGAGGCUCGAAAGCGUGGGGAGCAAACAGGAUUAGAUACCCUGGUAGUCCACGCCGUAAACGAUGAGUGCUAGGUGUCAGGCCCUUUCCGGGGCUUAGUGCCGCAGCUAACGCAUUAAGCACUCCGCCUGGGGAGUACGACCGCAAGGUUG
rnacentral:rRNA from 1 species